AAAAAAAAAAAAAAAAAAAAAAGAUUUCCUUGAAAACUGUAGCCCAGUAACAUUCUUGAGGUAAAUUCUUGAUGUUCUCAAGAAUUUCAUGGACACAGCAGCUUACCCAAGAAAGUAAACUGAAGGAGGAAAACCUCUACUUCUGUGCUGCUUAUGAUGUAUGCUUGAAGGAAACAUUUGAAAUAGAGUGACCAAUUAUUUUCAGUUGGAGAAGACUUUCCCAAUUUUAAAACUUCUAUGUCCCAGGAAAUCCUUCAGUUUCAGGAAAACCAGGACAGUUGAUCAUCCUACUUUGAAAAUUCCUUAAAAAAAUAAUAGGCUUAUUUUUCAUGGGCUUUGCAAUGAGCAUGUGCCAAAGAACUGAAGUCUCUGUGUCACCUCAAGGAAUGUACAUUUGUUCCACUAAGACUACUUUUUGCCUUAUGUGAGCAUAGGCAACUUCUGGGUAAGGGUCUAACCUCUGUAGUACUCAGCCAAUGAGGAAUCAAGGGGGACUUGCAAGCUAGGAGAUAAUCGCCUGCUACAACCACCUAGAAUGUCCAUCAGACACUCGCUCUUGCAAGAGUGUUGAUUAAAACCUCUUCACUGGGCUCCGA